rnacentral:rRNA from 1 species
UACGAAGGGGGCUAGCGUUGUUCGGAUUUACUGGGCGUAAAGCGCACGUAGGCGGAUUGUUAAGUCAGGGGUGAAAUCCCGGAGCUCAACUCCGGAACUGCCUUUGAUACUGGCAAUCUUGAGCCUGGAAGAGGUUAGUGGAAUUCCCAGUGUAGAGGUGAAAUUCGUAGAUAUUGGGAAGAACACCAGUGGCGAAGGCGGCUAACUGGUCCAGAUCUGACGCUGAGGUGCGAAAGCGUGGGGAGCAAACAGG